UUCUGACCCAGGAGGUCUGGGUGGGGCCUGGGAGCCUUCACGUCCAACAAGCACCCAGGUGACAUGCCUG
rnacentral:miRNA from 1 species